AUUGAACGCUGGCGGCAUGAUUUACACAUGCAAGUCGAACGGUAACAGGCCGCAAGGUGCUGACGAGUGGCGAACGGGUGCGUAAUGCAUCGGAACGUGCCCAGUCGUGGGGGGUAACUACCCGAAAGAGUAGCUAAAACCGCAUACGACCUAAGGACGAAAGCGGGGGACCGUAAGUCCUCGCGCGACAGGAGCGGCCGAGGUAGGUUUAGGUAGUUGGUGGGGUAAAGGCUCACCAAGCCAACGAUCGUUAGCUGGUCUGAGAGGACGACCAGCAACACGGGGACUGGAACACGGCCCAGACCCCUACGGGAGGCAGCAGUGGGGAAUUUUGGACAUUGGGCGCAAGCCUGAUCCAGCAAUGCCGCGUGCAGGAAGAAGUCCUUCGGGUUGUAAACUGCUUUUGUACGGAACGAAACGGCUCUGGUUAAUACCCGGAGCUAAUGACGGUACCGAAAGAAUAAGCACCGGCUAACUACGUG
rnacentral:rRNA from 1 species